UACAGAGGGUGCUAGCGUUGUUCGGAAUCAUUGGGCGUAAAGGGCGUGUAGGCGGUUUGUUAAGUCAUGUGUGAAAUCCCUCGGCUCAACCGGGGAACGACGCAUGAAACUGGCAAGCUAGAGUACCAAAGAGGGGGGUGGAAUUCCCGGUGUAGCGGUGAAAUGCGUAGAGAUCGGGAAGAACAUCAGUGGCGAAGGCGGCCUGCUGGGCUGUUGCUGACGCUGAGGCGCGACAGCGUGGGGAGCAAACAGG
rnacentral:rRNA from 1 species